AUGGCAUUAGUGUAAAUAGGUGGAUGAAUUAAAAUUGCUACAUAUAAUUACUUGUUUUGAAUUUAACUUUUUGAGUAAUUAUUAAUAAGAAAAAUGCAAAUAAGCCUUAUUUUUCUUUCUUAGAGACUAUUCCUCUAGGUCUUAUUUGUGAUUGUCCACCUCUGAUGUCCUGCAGAAAUGGACAAGGAAGUGCAUCAUGAAUUUCCCCACACAGGAUAUUGUGCAAUCCCACUCUCUUUUGCCUGUCAUUGUCUAAUCUAGACAAUCAGACAAAUAUUUCCAAAAGAAAGAUGAAAAGAAUUGAAUGGUGUGCACUUCUUUUGGGUUUUGUUUUCCUUAUUUGACAUACUGCUAAGAAUGUGUUUUUUCUUACUGAAGUGAUCUAAGUUCAGUUUUGCUUCACCAACAGGUUUCUUUUGGAAAGUUUCUGCCAAAGUCAGUGGCCUACAAAGCAUAGAAGAGAUCUUCAACAUCCAACUUGAAUAUCGCCCAGAAAAUACGGAGGAUGUGAAAGAUCGCUUGUAAAACUUCUAAUGCUCAGGCACGCUCUCUGAAAACAACGCUGUGAGUGAAAAGAUCACUUACCUCUGAGACUUGACAGAACAGUGUUCGCAACAUAUUUCACCGAGUUGUCUGACAGUUCCCUCAAGUUUCUUACCACAGAAGGUAGCAGAUUUUACAAUCAUGGGAAAACUCAGAAACAUUAUCAGAAGAAAAAUGGAAAGAAUACAGGGGGAUCAUUUUGAAAGAAAGCACCCUCUUGCAAGAUGAGGACAAUUUUCAACUCCAGGUUUUGGUCUCCUAUCAAGAAAAGGAUAUGGGGGUUUUAAUGAGACUGAUGAAACUACUCAGGAAGAUAAGAAAUCCCAACAAGUUUGAACACAGCUUGAUACACCUACGGUCAACCUUAUUUGGUUCCUAAAUUCUGUUUUUCUUCAUUUGGAUCUCUACCUUUUCAUCUGUCAUUGCUGCACAGACUUUAAAUUCAGUGUCAAAUCUCAAAUACAUUGCUGAUAAAAAAAAAAUCUUUAGUUAUAUACAUAGGUUUCUAACCUUAGUCAUAUCCAGGAUUUGUUUUCCCUUUUGUACAUGAUAGUAUUGAAAGGAGUGACUUACACAUAGGUUUAUACAAAGGACUUAGAAAUUCAGAAAAUUUCCCAAGGCUACUAAACCUGCUUAAACCCCCCAAGAAUUCCCUCUUACAUAUAACCUCCAUCUUCCUUUAAAUUUAACGAACAUAGUUUAAAUAUUCUUUGCAAGGCCCUUCUCUCACUUUUAGCCAUUAUAUUGGAACAACUUUUUUUUCCUUACACUUUUUCAAAAUUCUAAGUCACAGAAAAAUUUGUGGCUCGCCUAUUUGAAAAUUCUACCAAAUUUAUCAAGAUUAGAGCUAAAAUCAAUCCAAAGGCAAAACAAAAACAGCCAAAUGUAGAAAAUUAUCAAACUAUUUUUUUUCGUUUUUCUUUUUGAAGUCAGUCAUUCUAGU
rnacentral:lncRNA from 1 species